rnacentral:sRNA from 1 species
UCACGGAGUUUCUGUGCUAACAGGUUAGC